UACGUACCGUUUAAAAAAAAUCAUUUUAUGACAAAUAUGUUAUGUUUCUUCAAAACAUCUUUGGUUACAUUCGUGCAAAGAACUACGUUAACAUCAAUGUUUUCAAAAAAGGCAUACAAAAGUGUAGCUAGGGUUCCCUGUGUCUGUAGUAUAUUUAUUUACUUGUAUUUCACGUUUUAAUGCACAGUUCCCUAAAAAGAUUGGUGACCCGGGGAGGGGGGGCGUUUUUUAACUGAUAAUUUAUUUCUUUAAUGCAUUUUACAUUUCAUAUCCGAAAUUAAAAGAAAAAUCAUUUCUGGAUCUUGAAAUAGAAUCCUUUAUCAAUGCAUGUUCUCAAAGAAAGAUAUGUGAAGAAAUGUGGAAAAGACAUUUGUGGAUCAG